GAUGAACGCUGGCGGCGUGCCUAAUACAUGCCAGUCGAGCGAACAGACGAGGAGCUUGCUCCUCUGACGUUAGCGGCGGACGGGUGAGUAACACGUGGAUAACCUACCUAUAAGACUGGGAUAACUUCGGGAAACCGGCGCUAAUACCGGAUAAUAUAUUGAACCGCAUGGUUCAAUAGUGAAAGACGGUUUUGCUGUCACUUAUAGAUGGAUCCGCGCCGCAUUAGCUAGUUGGUAAGGUAACGGCUUACCAAGGCGACGAUGCGUAGCCGACCUGAGAGGGUGAUCGGCCACACUGGAACUGGGACACGGUCCAGACUCCUACGGGAGGCAGCAGUAGGGAAUCUUCCGCAAUGGGCGAAAGCCUGACGGAGCAACGCCGCGUGAGUGAUGAAGGUCUUCGGAUCGUAAAACUCUGUUAUUAGGGAAGAACAAAUGUGUAAGUAACUAUGCACGUCUUGACGGUACCUAAUCAGAAAGCCACGGCUAACUACGUG
rnacentral:rRNA from 1 species